UACGUAGGGUGCGAGCGUUAAUCGGAAUUACUGGGCGUAAAGUGUGCGCAGGCGGCCGCGCAAGUCGAGUGUGAAAGCCCCGGGCUUAACGUUGGGAAUUGCGCUCGAAACUACGUGGCUGGAGUGUGGCAGAGGAAGGUGGAAUUCCAGGUGGUAGCGGUGAAAUGCGUAGAGAUCUGGAGGAACACCGAUGGCGAAGGCAGCCUCCUGGGUCGACACUGACGCGUCGGCACGAAAGCGUGGGGAGCAAACAGG
rnacentral:rRNA from 1 species